GACGGGGGGUCCUAGCGUUGUUCGGAAUCAUUGGGCGUAAAGGGGGCGUAGGUGGCUAUGCAAGUCAGGAGUGAAAGCCCUGGGCUUAACCCAGGAAGUGCUUUUGAAACUGCAUAGCUUGAGUGUGGGAGAGGAUAGUGGAAUUCCUGGUGUAGUGGUGAAAUACGUAGAUAUCAGGAGGAACACCGGUGGCGAAGGCGGCUAUCUGGCCCAACACUGACACUGAGGCCCGAAAGCGUGGGGAUCAAACAGG
rnacentral:rRNA from 1 species